GUCAUUAUGAUGUAAUAACAAUAGCAAAGACAGGGUGGGGAAGCUAUUUUCUUCCCACGAUUCGAUUUUCUUCUUUGAAGAGGUAGUAAUUCGGUUGUACACACUUAAUAUUGAAGCACAUCCCAACCCAAGAACUAAGUAACUAUUAUUAUUACGCAUCCCCUUCCCACACUAAGGGAUUUUUAAGCUGAAACCGCAAGUGUACAAAGGCUCAGAGGUUCAGAAACUGUGUUCUCUGUAUCUGCAAGGAGUGAAUUUGGGGUUGCUUUGAAGUCUCCUGACAUGGGGUACCUUGGUACGCUUGGUAGAGCUAUGACAGGUUCUACUGAAGCCAGGGAGCAAGCCAUGACUGCACAACAUUCUUGGAGGGAAGGUCCCAAGGAAAAGGAUUUGGGGAAAGGCAUGGAAACAAAUAUAUCUUUCUUCAUAAUUGUUAAUAUCCUUGUAUGUGGAUACACCUGCUUUGUUAUUUUGUUUGAUUUGGAAACCAAAGUAAAUUUGUCUAACAUUAUAUAUUUUCAACAGAUUAGGUGUUUAUAACUCCAUACUUCCUGAAAUCUUUCUAGAAAUUUAUACAAAGAUUUGGAAUAUUAAGAUUGGCAGAAGUUGGGAAAUAAAAGGUUUGAAUUUA